UUGUUCCUCAAAUGUAAGUCGCUUUGGAUAAAAGUGACUGCCAAAUGAGUAAAUAUAAAUGUAAAUGUAAAGGAUGAUUUGAGAAAUGUACCAAAGGGUCAGAGAAAAACUCUAGAAUAAGUACAUUAUGUACGUCACGUAACGUAAGUCGACGUUAUUUAACUUAAAACAUGUCAACUUUGACUUUCUUUCUUUUACACGGGACUCAAACCUCGGUCUCCUGAGUUGACUUGACUCAUCUGAGGAUGCUGAUUGAUGCUCAGAUUGUUUAAACCCUUUGAGGUUCUGUGCCUGAACACGACUCUCCUUCUCCUUCCUACUUCUUCUUGGCUGGGCUCCUGAGAGAGCAGGUGACGCUGGGCGGCCAUGUUCCCCAGAGCUGAGCUCCUCAACCAGUCCUUCUCCAGAGGAUCCAGCUGCACCCUCUGGAACAGAGACUGGGAGGGAGGACGGGUGAGGAAGCCGUGGUGGCGGCGGCCGUGCAGCAGCGCAGGGGUCCUGAUGCCAUUAGUGGUGUUUAUUGGCCAGCAGGGCGCUGUGAAGCACCACCCAGGCCUUUAAUCAGAGGCCUGCCGGGCCGUCCUCACUGUUUACCCGAUACCUCCAUGUUAAUUACACAGCCUGGACCAGCCACAGAGGGAGGCCGUCCUUCAGCCUGACAACACACACAGAGCUGAGAGAGGCAGCAUCAGUGCCGAGGAGCAGAGUCGCAGUGUGGCGAGGAUUUAUGCAGCCGGAGAGGAAGACCGCCACUAAUCAGGGCUAAAGAGACGACCUCGUAUGCACGUGUACAAAACAUUUACUCUUACUUAAAAUUGGACGUUAGCGUUAAAUCAAAUCUGAGAUAAGUUAGUUAAGCACAGAGCGCUUUGUAAUAAAGACGCUAAACAGUUUGGUGAAUGACAGAAAAUCAACAGCUAAAAGUAUUUUGAUAAUUGAUAAAUCGUUGUAGUAAUUCUAGAAAAAGAAAACAUUUGCUUAUUCUCUGAUUAAUAUCUCAGUAAACUCUGCUGGUUUUGAAAUGUGGUGAAAAUGUCAUGGGUACUUUUUUUUUACUCUUUUCUGCAUCGACCA